CACGUAGGUGGCAAGCGUUAUCCGGAUUUAUUGGGCGUAAAGGGAACGCAGGCGGUCUUUUAAGUCUGAUGUGAAAGCCUUCGGCUUAACCGGAGUAGUGCAUUGGAAACUGGGAGACUUGAGUGCAGAAGAGGAGAGUGGAACUCCAUGUGUAGCGGUGAAAUGCGUAGAUAUAUGGAGGAACACCAGUGGCGAAAGCGGCUCUCUGGUCUGUAGCUGACGCUGAGGUUCGAAAGCGUGGGUAGCAAACAGG
rnacentral:rRNA from 1 species